rnacentral:rRNA from 1 species
GGGGGAUAUUGCACAAUGGAGGAAACUCUGAUGCAGCAACGCCGCGUGAGGGAAGAAGGUCUUCGGAUUGUAAACCUUUGUCCUUGGUGACGAAACAAAUGACGGUACCUGAAGAAUAAGCCACGGCUAACUACGUGCCAGCAGCCGCGGUAAUACGUAGGUGGCAAGCGUUGUCCGGAAUUACUGGGUGUAAAGGGUGCGUAGGCGGCUCUGCAAGUCAGGCGUGAAAACUAUGGGCUUAACCCAUAGACUGCGUUUGAAACUGUGGGGCUUGAGUGAAGUAGAGGUAGGCGGAAUUCCCGGUGUAGCGGUGAAAUGCGUAGAGAUCGGGAGGAACACCAGUGGCGAAGGCGGCCUACUGGGCUUUAACUGACGCUGAAGCACGAAAGCAUGGGUAGCAAAC